rnacentral:lncRNA from 1 species
AGAAGGGAACUGGAGGCCCCUGCUCUCAGGGAAAGGGCACUGGAUUGAGAGUCGGCAGAGAAUUCUAGUCCUGCUUCCACCCCAACCAGCUAGGUGCUCAUGAAAGUGUUCUUUGGGCCUCAGUUCCCCCAUCUGUAAAAGAAGGAUGGGUAUGUUAGAUUUUAAGGUGGGUUCUCUGUGAUUUAUUUAUUUAUUUAUUUAUUUAUUUAUUUAUUUAUUUAUUUUGAGACGGAGUUUCGCUCUUGUUGCCCAGGCUAGAGUACAAUGGCGAGGUCUCAGCUCACUGCAACCUCCACCUCCCAGGUUCAAGCAAUUCUCCUGCCUCAGCCUCCCAAGUAGCUGGGAUUACAGGCACGUGCCACCACACUCAGGACAGAAAGCCGCUGCGGAGCAAAGGUGCCUCCAGGGACAGACAGGGAAAAGCUUGCGGGAGACAGCCACCCUCACUGGCCCCUCCUGUGGCGGGAACAAGCUCCACAGGCCUGCUAAGAUCACCAGACCCUGACUCGAGCUGUGAGCCAGUUCAUUGCCUACUGCCCACAGCUCACCGCAGCCAAGCCCAGCCUGGCCGUGACCCCUAACGCUACCCACACCAGCUUCACAUCCUGACGUUUUCUGACCCCUCUCCCAAAAACCUCCUUGCUUCCCUCUGGCCUCUGAAACAGAGAACCUCCUUGCUUCUCUCUGGCCUCUGAAACAGGGUACCUCCUUGCUUCCCUCUGGCCUCUGAAACAGGAGACCUCCUUGCUUCCCUCUGGCCUCUGACACCCCCCUGUGCUUGGGUCCUUCCACCCGAGUGAGGGGCAGUACGGUAUUGUGGUCAGUAGGCCAGGCUCCAAAGCCACACACCUGGCCUCCACCCCUCCCAGGCCAUGUGGUGUGACUGCAGACAAGUCAUUUAACCUCCCUGUGCCUCUAUUUUCUCAUCUGUAAAAUGGGGGUGAUGGCAAGAAAAGUAGUAGCCACUUCAGAGGGUCGUUGUAAAUAUUAAAUGAGCUACUUCUGUAAACAGUUAUAGAAAACGAAAACUACUCUGUAACAUCAGAAAGCAGGUCAGUGGUUGCCUGAGGACAAAAGGAAGGGUCCGGAUGGAGAAAUUACCAAGGGUUCCGAGGAAACGUUGAGGGGCAAUGGGUUUGUUCGUUAUCUUAUUUGUAGUGAUGAUUUCGUGGGUACAUACAUGUAUCAAAACAUAGCACAUUGUACACUUUGGCUUUAAAUAUAUCUCAACAGCACUGUUUAUUUAUUUAUUUAUUUUGAGAUGGAGUCUUGCUCUGUUGCCUAGACUGGAGUGCAAUGGCGCGAUCUCUGCUCAUUGCAACCUCCACCCGCUGGGUUCAAGUGAUUCUCCUGCCUCAGCCUCCCGAGCAGCUGGGACUACAGGCGUCUGCCACCACGCCCAGCUAAUUUUUGUAUUUUUAGUAGAGACGCCAUGUUGACCAGGCUGGUCUCGAACUCCUCCUGAUCUCAAAUGAUCCACCCACCUCAGACUCCCAAAGUGCUAGGCCAACAGCACUGUUUAAAUUAUCGUGUGAGGUAAUAUGCGGAAGUCACUCAGUAGGCAUCAGGCACACAGUGAGAGCUACAUCAAUAUUAAAUGCUGGUGUUACUCUCUCAUGUCCCCUGCCACCAACCCCCACCCCUGCUCUCUUCAUCAUUAGCCCCUCAGGGUUUCAAAAGCUCAUAUGGGCUCAAGGCAGCCCACUCCGUGUCUUGCUAACCGUGUGUGUACAUGUUAUCAAAAUCUGGAAACUGCCGAAAUUAUACCCCUGAUGGCAGGAACUCAGCUAGAAUCUCAACAUAUGUCCCCACAGCUGCUUCUUCAGGAGCAACUGCUGAAUAGCCACUGUCCCAUCCCUGCCCCUCUUACCCCCCAGGACCAACCUCACCACAACUGCCCACAUCUAGGAACUACAGGGUUAAAGGCGGGCACAGCUUGGCAGGGGUGGCCUCUGGGGUCCUGUUCCAGCUCAGUUCUCAUAGUUGGUGCUGAGUGCUAAUUUUUUGUUUGUUUGUUUGUUUGUUGGAGAGGCGAGGGCUCCCUAUGUUGCCCAGGCUUGUCUUGGACUCCUGGCCUCAAGCAAUCCUCUCACCUCAGCCUCCCAAAGCGCUGGCAUUAUGGGUUUGAGCCACUGUGCCCAGACCUAAAUAUUUUAAAUAUCAUCCUGUCUUAGGCCACCUUUGCCCAUGACCCAGCUACAUUGAUGGGGCAACCAUGGCAGCAUCAUGUCAGGACCUUCUCCAAGUCCAGACACCCGGCAAUGUGGCUUUCCCUGAGCCCAGCCACAGCAGGGAAUACUCAGCCCCAGAGGACAUUAGAGUCUCUCAGGGACUACCCUGGCCAAGGACCUUCCAGGAACACAAUCCCUCCCACUCCUGUCACCCCUACCUCCCCCCGGAGCCAUGGUGGGCUCAGGGGAGGCUUCUGGUCUGGGGGUUGGAGGAUGUGCACUAAGUGAGUCAUGUCACAGCUGGACAUAAAAUUACAAUUUGGUUUUCUUGACUUUUCUUAAACAUUUUCUCCCUCUUAAACUCCUCUAAGUUCUGAGACAGAAUUAUUGAACUCAACUGGGGUUGGGUGACAAGGAGGGUCUGGCCCCUGACUCCCUGUCAAAGGCUGUGCCCAGGGCCAGGCUAGGUCAGAGGACCUGUGGGAUGAAGGGGCAGGACGGUGGCUCACAGCGCAGCGGGGUGGGCGAGGCCAGCAAGGUCUGCUACACUCUGUGUAGGAAGUGACCUUGUCAGGGCUGACCAGUGGGGAACAAUACUGAGAAAGGCGGAGCCAGGAAGCCACCCGGUCACCUCAGGAACCCUGAGGUGGACGCAGAGGCCAAGGUCAGACUCCAGGUCUGCAGGAGCACCCCCGAACCUGGUCAUGAACGGGUGUGAGCCUGUGUGUGAGAGAAAGAGAAAACAAAUGUGCACACGACAGGGAAUUUGGUGUGUGAGACAAGAGAGUGCUCGUGUUUUUGAGAGUGUGCGUCUAAGAAAAAAAAAAUUGUAAGGAUUUUGUGUGUGGGGUAGAAUAUGUACACGGAGAGACCUUUCUGAUUCUGAGAGGAUGUUCUUGUAGGUGGACUUGCUGAUUCCGAAACUAAACAAGAAUCUCCUCAUCCUCAGGCCGGGGGCACCCAGGGCAGCCUGAGCAGGGAGAAGUUGCCCCGGCAGCCUCCUGUCUCCUUUCGAGGGACUGGUGGCGCCUUCCUGCCCCCUCCAACAUGGACUCAGGGUCUUCGCUUCAAAGUGCUGAGCCGGGGCCUGGGAAUUCCCACACACCCACCCCCGCCACCCCUGCCUCACCUGGCGGUUGCCUCAGAACCAGAAGCCACACAAAUAUGCCGCCGAGCCGGUGGGGCGGCUUUCCUGUCAGCGGCUGCCCUGAGAGGGCCAGAUCUCCAUUAUUCAUGGUCCUUCGGUGAGUGACACCCACCCCCUAACCUUGAGGGAUUUUCGAGAAUGCUGGCUGGAGGGCUCUGGGUACCCUGCUCAGGCUGGAAAAGGCUUCCCCUUCACACACUGGCUGGUUUCUCCAGUCGGCCCCCAACAAGCUGUGGGUGGCUUCAGGAAGCCCCUCCCUGGCCAGGCGAGGUAAUGUUGGGAGACCGACAAGGCAACCAAACCCUAUGCCCAAGAUUCUUGACCUUUUGGGGAGGUCCCAGACCUCUCUGAGAGUCUGAGAAAUUGAAUAGAUCCUUUCUCUAGAAAAAUUCUCUACAAAUUUUUACUGUAAUGUCAGAAGCUUUUGAGUCCAUUCCUCAGUUCCAUAUGGGUCCUCAGACCUUGGUUAAGGGCAAUGGAACCCCCAACACCAAAGCGCUGAAAUUGCCAAAAUUAUAGCCCUGGCAGCAGGAAACUCCACUAGAAUCUCAACACAUAGAAGAUACUGGGAACAUUCUGGUGAAUGAACGUGUUCCCCACCAGCUGUGAUGUGAGUGGUGAGCAGGCAGGACUCCCUGGAGUCUGGCCUCCACCACAAACAACUUUGGGACUUGAAGCUUUAUUUAUUCACUCAAUGCUUCUUUUUGGUUUUGAUUUUGGUUGGGUUGUUUUUGUUUUUGUGUUUUGUUUUUCUGGGAUGGGAAUCUCACGAUGUUGCCCAGGCUGGAGUGCAGUGGCUAUUCACAGAUGUGACCACAGCACACUACAGCCUCGAACUCCUGGGCUUCAGCCAUCCUCCCGGCUUAGCCUCCUGAGUGGCUGGGAUUACAGGCUGCACUACCACACCUGGCUUCAGUGGUUGUUACUGCCUACAGACUUUGUGCCAGGCAUGGCCAUAUGAUGAGGAUAUAAAAUAGAUGUAUAGACACAUUUUCUGCCUUCAUGUUGCUUAUAGUCUAGGGUGAACGAGAAAAUUAAUUGAACACCUAAGUACAUAUGUAAUUCUAUGAAGUGGCCAGGGAUUAUGACUAAACCCCUAGGGCUUCAGUUUCCUCAUCUAUAAAAUGAAGAUAACUAUAGUUACUUGCUAGUCUUUCUAUGAGGAUGAAAUGAGACCACUUAUGUUAAGCACUGAGCGUGGAGCCUGCACAAGAGGGAGCUACAGAAGGCAUGGCGUGUGAGUGAGGCUGGUCAGCAGACAGAAGUGAGCCUGGCCACUCUGUGAUGGCAGAGCCUUGGCAAAAACCAGGCCACUACCAUCUUGACCAGCCUGGAUGCUGGGGCUGGAAGGGUAGCCAUUUUAGAGGCAGCCUCCAGGCCAUGAACAUCACUAGGCAGCAGCCAAGCCCUGUAUGAAUGGGGAGCAAGUGGUCAGAGUAGGAGGAGGCCAAAGCUGACCCUUUGAAUGGCCAAGUUGAAGCAGGGGACUGGAAUGACUUCUCAGCAGGGGUGGGUUUUAAGAUCUGUGCCAAUUUCUACUUCUGGCUACAGUAGACUAGCUUAUAUAUCACACCAACUUUGCCACCAACCGAAAAAAGAGAUAAAAUACAUUUUUAAAAUUUGAAUCUAGAAAGAUGAGCUUAACAUUUGGCCCUACUUUUCCCCUAAGCAGUAGCAUGAAGUUCAGAAUGUGAGCAGGAAGUGGAGACUGAGGUUUUUGCAACCUCCUGGAGUUAGAGAAAGAGGAAAGGGGAGAACUCAAGCAUCUCCAAGUGGAGAGAUGGCUUGUUUAGAAAAAAAAAAAACUGUCAGUUAGGACCCUUGAAGCACAAAUCAGAAAUAGGUCAGCCCUCACAAAGGUUGAAGUGCAGCUUCAAACAAACUUAAUCCCACAUGGGAUUAAAGUGCGCUGCCUCUACUCUAUCUCCCUUCCAGAGUCAAGAGUAAAUCCUCUCUGGAUUAUUCAGAGCCUCAAAUUAUCUCUACAAUCCUUCCAUAUACCAUGUCUGGAAGUCAAUAACAUUUACCAGGCAUGACAGGAGAUAAGAUCAUAUGACUGAAACUAAGAGGUGGAAAAAAAACACAGCUAAUAGGAAUAAACCUGAAGGAGAUCCAGAUAUUAUUAUUUAAAAUAGCAGACUUUAAAAUAAUUGUGAUUGAUAUGUUCAAAAAAAUUGGAGAGAUAAAUAAUUUAAGGAGAACUGGAAACUCCUAAAGGUUAUCAAAUGGAAGUUCUAGGCAAAUACAAAAUACUACAAAAAAUAAUCAUCAUCAUAAUUAACAAGCAAUGAAUGGGUUUAACAGCAGAUUAGAUGUCACUAAUAGAAGAUUAGUGAACUGGAAAACAGGUCAGUAUAAAAUAUUGAGCAAUGAAGCACAAUGAGAAAAUCUGAUAAAAAAUAAAAUCAGGGGCCAGGCACGGUGGCUCACACGUGUGGUCCCAAUAGUUUGGGAGGCCGAGGCGGGUGGAUCACCUGAGGUCAGGAGUUCGAGACCAGCCUGGCCAACAUAGUGAAACCCCAUCUCUACUAAAAAUACAAAAAUUAGCCAGGUGUGGAGGCAGGUGCCUGUAAUCCCAACUACUCAGCAGGCUGAGGCAGGAGAAUCACUUGAACCUGGGAGGUGGAGGUUACAGUGAGCCAAGAUCGUGCCAUUGCACUCCAGCCUAGGUGACACAGCAAAAUUCUGUGUUAAUAAAUAAAUAAAUUAAUUAAUUAAUUAAAUCCGGGCACAAAAAGAGAAUAACAUUUUUAAAUCCCUUAAUUUACCCCCAUAAAACACGGUAUAAAUGGUUUUGUAUGGGGUGGGUGCGAUGGCUUACACCUGUAAUCCCAGCAUUUUGGGAGGCUGAGGCAGGCUGAUCACUUGAGCCCAGGGGUUCAAGACUAGUCUGGGCUCACUUGUCUCUACAAAAAACAUAAAAAUUAGCCAAGCAUGGUGGUGUAUGCCUGUAGUCCAGCUACUUGGAAGGCUAAGGUGGAAGGAUCACCUAAGCCUAGGAGGUCAAGGCUGCAGUGAGCAUGACUGUGCCACUGCACUCUAGCCUGGGCAACAGAGUAAGACCCUAUCCAAAAAUAAAAUAAAGUAAAGUAAAAGGUUUCAUAUGUACAAUAUAGUAUAGUGUUUGUAUGUGAGCAUAAUAUGGGAUAAUGGACAGUAUGUAAUAAAGACUACAUAUGCAAAUUUACUUAUGGCAUUAUUACAUUAAAAAUAAGGAGCUGGAAGUUUCAUGCAUUAAAUGUAAAUUUGAUGAGACUCCAUGGUGUAUGAGACUCAGGGAGAGAAUGGGCUUUGGAGGCCACUGCCCUGAUCUGAAACGUGAGUAGGAGCCUCUGAGUAGUGGAUUCUUCCUCAUGCUCCUUGAUCCACGGCACAUGGGUGAUCUCCCAUUCCCCGCUGUGGCUCUCACCCCACUGACUGCUAUGAUCAGGCCCUGGCCUUCUUUCCAUUCCUUAACCUGCUAAUCUCUUUCCUGCUUCAAGGCCUUUUUACACACUGUUCCAUGUGCCUGGAUGCACUUGUCCAUGCCCUUCUCACACCUACUUCUGCUCAGCCCUCAGGUCUCAGUUUAUGUAUCGCACCCUGUGUUUAGUGUAUCCCCCCUUCACAGCAAUGACUACAUUAAGCAGUAAUUUUAUUUGUUUGUUUCCUUAUCUCUCUUCUAUGAAUUGCCUCUGCUACUUAAAACAGCUCCUAUAGAGCCCCGAAUAUUAUCAUCACCAUUAGUUUGAGACUAGAAGUGCCAACACUCAGUCAUUCACUCGCAAAAUGCUUGUUGAGCAUGUACUCUGUGCCAGGCGAGGUGAAGACACUGGGGCUACAGGAGGAACAAAACAGACAAACAUUCUACUCUCAUAGAUCUGGAAGAGACAGACAUAAACAAACAUUAGACUUGUCAGGGGGUGCUGAGUGCAGCUAGGCAACUGCAAAAAGGAUGUAGAGGAUGAAAAAGAAGGAGAGGCCAGGUGUGGUGGCUCACGCCUGUAAUCCCAGCACUCUGGGAGGCCAAGGUGGGUGGAUCACCUGAAGUCAGGAGUUCGAGACCAGCCUGGCCAACAUGGUGAAACCCCAUAUCUACUAAAAAUGCAAAAAACUAGCCAGGUGUGGUGGCGGGCGCCUAUAGUCCCAGCUACUCAGGAGGCCGAUACAGGAGAAUCGCUUGAACCCAGGAGGCGGAGGUUGCAAGUGAGCCGAGAUCAUGCCACUGCACUCC